UUUCAUUAUUAUUUCCGGCUG
ensembl:piRNA 21ur-12758 ncRNA